rnacentral:rRNA from 1 species
UACAGAGGUGGCAAGCGUUGUUCGGAAUUACUGGGCGUAAAGGGCGCGUAGGCGGCCUUCUAAGUCAGACGUGAAAUCCCCAGGCUUAACUUGGGAACUGCGUCUGAUACUGGGAGGCUUGAGUGCGGGAGAGGGAUGUGGAAUUCCAGGUGUAGCGGUGAAAUGCGUAGAUAUCUGGAGGAACACCGGUGGCGAAGGCGGCAUCCUGGACCGACACUGACGCUGAGGCGCGAAAGCGUGGGGAGCAAACA